UACAGAGGUCUCAAGCGUUGUUCGGAAUUACUGGGCGUAAAGGGCGCGUAGGCGGCCUGUUAAGUCAGACGUGAAAUCCCUCGGCUCAACCGGGGAACUGCGUCUGAUACUGGCGGGCUUGAAUUCGGGAGAGGGAUGUGGAAUUCCAGGUGUAGCGGUGAAAUGCGUAGAUAUCUGGAGGAACACCGGUGGCGAAGGCGGCAUCCUGGACCGACAUUGACGCUGAGGCGCGAAAGCCAGGGGAGCAAACGGG
rnacentral:rRNA from 1 species